UACGUAGGGUGCGAGCGUUGUCCGGAAUUACUGGGCGUAAAGCGUGCGCAGGCGGUAAUGUAAGACAGUUGUGAAAUCCCCGGGCUCAACCUGGGAACUGCAUCUGUGACUGCAUUGCUGGAGUACGGCAGAGGGGGAUGGAAUUCCGCGUGUAGCAGUGAAAUGCGUAGAUAUGCGGAGGAACACCGAUGGCGAAGGCAAUCCCCUGGGCCUGUACUGACGCUCAUGCACGAAAGCGUGGGGAGCAAACAGG
rnacentral:rRNA from 1 species